UGGAAAUAUGGAGGGGGGAAGAGAAAGAGAGGGAGUUGCAAAUUAGAAAAAAAUUAUUAUUAUUGUGGUAAGAACACAACAUAAGAUCUACCCAUUUAACAAAGUUUUAAGUGUACAGUACAGUAUUAUUAACUGGAGGUGCUGUGUUGUACAGCAGAUUUCUAGAACUUAUCUUGCAUCACUGACACUACAUACCAGUUAAACAACAACUCCCAUUUUCCCCUCCCCAUAGCCCCUGGCAAUCACCAUUCCACUCUCUGCUUUUUAUUGUUCAGGCUCAAUCCUGCCAUAUAUGACAACAUGGAUGAACCUGGAGGACUUUCUGAUGGGUGAAAUAAACCAGUCCCAGAAGGACAAAUACUGCAUGAUUCCACUUAUAAGAGGUACGUAAAAUAGUCACUCAUAGAAGCAGGGAGUGAGAAAUGUUUUAGUGGGUGGAGGAGAGUGGAAGUGGAAGGGGAAGUUGGGUCUAAAUCCCUUCUCUUAAGUGCCUCAAUGAAUCUCUGCUAUCAUUUUCUAAGUUCUUUAGCUAGGUUUUCUUUUCCUGAAUCACUCACCUUUCUGCUUCUUUCUGCUGCAGACCCUGCAAUGUAAUAUUAAAAAGAUUCCUGAGCUCCAGCACAGAACAGAAGCAGAUUCUGCUUUGCUCUAUUUGUAAAAGACAACUGGAUGAGCGAAGAUUACUACUUGCAAUAAGACUAGCAAUUUAUCUGAAAUUAGAGGCAGAGACAAAAUAUCUACUUUUUGCUCAUUCCGACUCAAAAUGGGUGAAGGUUUUCAUCCGCCUCCUGGAGAGACUCAAAAGGACAUGCUGAAAGAUGAACAGAGUGGUUAAUUACAACUAAAUCUCAUGAACCAGUAAAUAUUAAGUGUCUUUCAUCCUCUGUCUCCUUUAUCCCUUGGGGUUCCUCCAGUACCCACUGAGAAUGGGCUGAACUAACAUAAGAUCCCAAAGAAUGGAAGUUCUUCCCUGACUUCAAGAAAGAAUUUGUUAAAAACAUGAUUUCUUGGGCUGGCCCUGUGUUAUAGUAGUUAAGUUACCACACUCUGCUUUGGUGGCCCAGGGUUUGCAGGUUUGAAUCCUGGGUGUGGACCGAGCAGUGCUUGUCAAGACACACUGUGGUGGCAUCCCACAUAAGAUAGAGGAAAAUUGGUAUAGAUGUUAGCUCAGCAACAGUCUUCCUCAAGCAAAAAGAGGAAGAGUGGAAACAGAUGUUAGCUCAUGGCCAAUCUUCCUCACCUAAAAAAAAAAGAUUUCUCUUAUUGUAUGAAAUAUACAAAAUUUAUAUAAACAAACAUUUUGCUAUGGAUUUAAUGCUAAGUUUUAUAGGGCCAUAUAAUUGAUCUCUAUUGUAAUUUAUGUUACAUAAUAUCCUUCUGUCAUUUGUAUUUCCUGAGAGAUUCUGGAAUGUCAUUCUGGCACUUUCCACUGCAAGAUUAGCACUGCUGCUCCUUGAUGGAGAAUACCUCAUUCAUUAGCAGUGGUCUAUAAAUGAAUAGAUGGGCAUUGUGGUUUUUCCCUCAGGGGUACAAAAUUCCUGGAUCUUCAGAGUUAGGACUAGAAAUCUGACAACAUUUGGCAAAAUAUAAUACCACGAAAUUAUGCCUAAAUUAAAACCACUGAGUUAAAUUUAUCUUAAGAAUAAGGGAAGGAAUAUUGCUAAUGUGAUUCCUAUGGAGGACUAAAAAUGGAGCAAGUGGCAUAAAAUAAAGGGUAUAAAUCUUGAUUGAAGAAUUUCUCC
rnacentral:lncRNA from 1 species